GAAUUCGAUUCUCCUGAAACGGGUGUAAUGCCGGAUGCUCCAGUCCAUCGCAUGGUGGUCUGGGAAAGAUUUCAUCGGUAUGGGAUGGGGUCGCGUCCUAUCAGGUAGUCGGCGGGGUAACGGCCCACCGAGCCUACGACGGGUAGCCGGCCUGAGAGGGCGACCGGCCACAUUGGGACUGAGAUACGGCCCAGACUCCUACGGGAGGCAGCAGUGGGGAAUAUUGCACAAUGGGCGCAAGCCUGAUGCAGCGACGCCGCGUGCGGGAUGACGGCCUUCGGGUUGUAAACCGCUUUUGAUCGGGAGCAAGCCUUCGGGUGAGUGUACCUUUCGAAUAAGCACCGGCUAACUACGUGCCAGCAGCCGCGGUAAUACGUAGGGUGCAAGCGUUAUCCGGAAUUAUUGGGCGUAAAGGGCUCGUAGGCGGUUCGUCGCGUCCGGUGUGAAAGUCCAUCGCUUAACGGUGGAUCCGCGCCGGGUACGGGCGGGCUUGAGUGCGGUAGGGGAGACUGGAAUUCCCGGUGUAACGGUGGAAUGUGUAGAUAUCGGGAAGAACACCAAUCACUAGUG
rnacentral:rRNA from 1 species